GGACGGGACCCGCACAAGCGGUGGAGCAUGUGGUUUAAUUCGACGAUACGCGAAGAACCUUACCUGGCCUUGACAUACUAAAAAGCUUUAAGAGAUUAGAGUGUGCUAGCUUGCUAGAAUUUAGAUACAGGUGCUGCACGGCUGUCGUCAGCUCGUGUCGUGAGAUGUUGGGUUAAGUCCCGCAACGAGCGCAACCCUCGUGUUUAGUUGCUAACAGUUCGGCUGAGAACUCUAAACAGACUGCCUACGCAAGCAGGAGGAAGGUGAGGACGACGUCAAGUCAUCAUGGCCCUUACGGCCAGGGCUACACACGUGCUACAAUGGGGUAUACAAAGAGCAGCGAUACGGUGACGUGGAGCAAAUCUAGAAAAUGCCUCUCAGUUCGGAUUGUAGUCUGCAACUCGACUACAUGAAGUUGGAAUCGCUAGUAAUCGUAGAUCAGCAAUGCUACGGUGAAUACGUUCCCGGGUCUU
rnacentral:rRNA from 1 species